AACGCCCUCCAUAUUUUUCCCCAUUCGAAGAAACCUACCUUACUUUAGAUGACAUUUCUUUUGACGAUGCUGCUUUUGGGUUUGAUUCUAAAACUGAUGACUACAAAGUCAUACGAUUUGUUACUCUUACUUUUGUUAAUAGUGAAGAAGAAUAUUCACAUCCUCAUUUUAUGUACCAAGUUGAGUUGUAUUCUCUUAGAAGUAAUUCCUGGAAGGAAAUCCCAUCUCCUGAUGAUAAACCAACUGAAACAAAUUUGGGAAAUAAUUAUGUAGACGGAAUUUGCUAUUGGAAAACAGAGACAGGGGCAUAUCUUGAUUUUAGAGGACUAAUUCUUUCAUUUGACAUGGGGAAAGAGAAGUUCUCAAUUUUACCUAUCCCAGAAUUCGUUGGGUCUUUCCCAGAAUACUAUGUUGAUCUAUUGGUGUUUAAUGGAUCACUUGGUGCUAUUGUUUACCCAACGGAAAGAAUUGACACGUCUUUUGAUUUAUGGGUUACAAGUGAAGGAGUGUGGACUAAACAAUUCAAUAUUAAAUCCAUUUCUGGAGUUGUACACCCAUUGGGAUUUGGAAAAAAUGGUGACUUGUUUCUUAGAGACACAAAUGAUGAAGUACUCCUAUUUGACGCCUCCACCCAAGAGCUUAAGGAGCUUGAGAUUAAUACUUAUCUAGAUCAUUUUCGGUUCGACAUUUCCCUUCAUGUUUAUUUAGAGAGCCUGGUUCGUAUCAAUGGAAUAAAAGAGAUUGAGAAACAUGUAAUACGUCAACCAGCGAGAGAUGCAUAAAAUGAAUACUAAUGAGUGAUUAUAUUUUAAUAUUUAUUUGCAUAAAAAUUAAAAUUGACUGAUUUUCUUGAAAAACUAAUCUACUUUAUUUUUGCCAGUAAAUUUGGUAGUGGUUAGACCUGCAAAUAAGAAUAUUUUAUCGUAAUCCUUCUUCACAUGGAUAAACCUGCAAAUAAGAAUAUUUUGAUGCAUGAAGAUACCAGCUAACCAAUUAUACAUUAAGAAGGCUAUGUGUGAUCUAGGGGCUUCUAUAAAUGUAAUGUUAUAUUCUAUUUAUGAAUCACUUAACGUGGAUUUUUUGACAAAAACAGGUGUUAUCAUUCAAUUGGCGGAUAGGUCUAUUGUGCAUCUAGAAGGAGUCCUUGAGGAUGUUCUGGUAAAAGUUAAUGAGCUUAUUUUCCCUGCAAAUUUUUAUGUGAUCAAAAUGGAGGAGGAUAGCACUCCUGGAUCUUCAAAUCUCCUGCUGGGUCGACCGUUCCUUAGUACAGCUAGUACUAAAAUCGACGUUCGAAAUGGAACUCUCACGAUGGAGUUUGAUGGGGAGAUUGUAAAGUUUAAUGUUUACGAAGCCAUUAGCCAUCCAAGUGAAAUCUUGAACGUAAAUCGUAUCGACAUAAUUGACUCUUUGGUGGAAGAGAAUUUUGAGUCAAUUUGUGGAGAUAAUUCUGAACUUGAUGAAUUUGAAUCUGUUAAUGAGUUAUUAUCUCCAAAUACUAAAUUGUUUCCUUCUGUUGUACACGCACUAGAGUUGGAGUUAGAACCCACAGGACAGGCAAGGAAAUUAGACAUCCAAGAGUUAGAAGAAAUUCGCAAUGAUGCCUACGAUAAUGCUCACAUUUAUAAAGACAAAACAAAGUAUUUUCACGAUAAGAGAAUAACCCAGAAGCAUUUUUCGGUAGGACAAAAAGUUUUACUUUAUAACUCUGUGUUAAAGUUAUUCCCAGGUAAACUUCGACCAUGAUGGCAAGGACCUUUUAUUGUUAGUAAAGUGUUCACACAUGGAGCGGUUGAAAUAGAGAGUGAAGAAUUUGGAAAGCGGUUCGUAGUCAAUGGCCAACGGUUGAAGCCGUUUUAUAAGAAUUUUCAAGCUCACACGGUUAAGAAAAUCCAUUUGGAACCACCAUAGAACCAAUAACAGCGUCUAGCUAACGACGUUAAACAAGUGCUUGUUGGGAGGCAACCUAAUUUUUUUUUUUUUAUUAUUUUUCUUUCUUUACUUCAUUUUAUUUUAUUAUUUAUUACUUAUUUGGAUAUUAGUUAAUUUUUCUUCUUUUGCUUAGAUAAAAUAGAGCGAAAAUGCGAAGAAAACCGUUGAGCAACACUUAGAGCUCAUUGAGGCCCGACUUGAAACCUUUAGCUAGUAACCGACCGAGCUCAUUGCCAUCAUAUGCGAUCGACAGAAACAACACGGGGAGUUUUCCUAAACUUUUCUACCUAUUUAUUUCUUUUCGUCCACAUUGAGGACAAUGUGCUUUUCAGUAGGGGGAGGAACUCUUCGUUAUUACUGUAAUUUUUUGCUGUGAUUAUUUUUGGCUGGUGUUGCUACUUGAGGCUUUAUUUUGUCCAUGUUUAUUUUUUUGGAAUCUCCUGCCUCUUUUCAUGCCCAAGAUUUUUACCAAGAAUUGCCUACUGUUUGACCUACAAGCAUGAUUCUUGUUUUCUGAGAAAAUUACGGAUUUCCAUAAUUGAUGCCAUCUCCACUGUUUUAUUCUUAUUAGACUAAAAAUAAUUGUGAUUCAUAGAGUUAACUUUAUCUUGCUUUUCGUAAAAUUGAUCAAGUUUAAUACAAAGUGGACACUUAAGAUGUUUGCAUGCUAAAAUAUGUUGAUGACUAUUAAGGUAAUUACUGAAACUUAUUUUUCACACUUGAUUAUUAUUAUUUCUCUAAAGUCCUCAUAAAAAAGUUAUUAUUAAAAUGUCGUUUAAUGUUUCCGUGGUUAUGAGUUUAGCUUAAAAACGUGACUGACUGAGUAACCGGGGUAGGGUGCUUGGGUUGUCAUCCUAUUUCGCGUCAAAAGGUUGUGUGACGUGUUAGAUAAAACUCCGCUAACCAAAAUUAAUUUUUAGGAACAUGUUGGGCUGAGUAACCGGAGUGGGGUGCUUGGCUGUCAUCUCUCUUUGCGUCAAAAGGUUCGAUGUGUUCUUAAGAAAAAAAUAUAAUAAAUUAGGAUUCUGCUGGGCUGAGGAACCGGGGUGGGGUGCUUGGCUGUCAUCUCUCUUCGCGUCAAAAGAUUCAGUAUAUUCCUAAAGCAUAAAAAAAAAGAGACAAAAUAAAAAGAAAAAAAUAAUUUGGGGACUAAAGGAGGAAACAAAUAGGGUGUCUUGGUAGGUUUGGUAAUUUACCUAAUUUUCAUUAAAUAAAUCAAGUCGAUUCUAAUUUGUGUGUGUAUUAAUUGGAAAACUUUUUUUCUGUUUUACUUAAAGUAAGCUUAGGGUUCUCUUUAUUUUUCAUAUUCAUUUUUGACUAAUUUUUAUAAAACUUUGGAGUUGUAUUUCUUUUAUGGCAGGGUCUAACUUUCACAGUAAAUAGGAACCAUACUUGAGGGCAAGCAUGGGCUAAGUAGGGGGAUUUGAUAACACUCUAGAAUAACGUAUUUUUAUGUAUUAAUUAUGUAUUUAUUCUGAGUAUGAUCCUGUUAGUUUGAGCUAUUUAUGAUCUUUUAUCUCAUAGGGACUAAAUUUGAGGCAAAAGCAAAAUUAAGGCCCAAAAACAUGAAUUAAUAGAUAAAAUGGGUCAAUGUGCGACACAAGGAAAAGUUGGUGCCAAAAGUGCAAGCAUGGAGGACACAAGGGUUGAAAUGCAAAAAGAAGAGAUUUUUUUUCUAUUAAACUCUAUUUAAUUAUAUUAGGAUAAUUAAUAUUGAGAUAAUUAUUAAGGAUUAUUUUUAGGAUUUUAUUUUAUCUUUAUUUAUCUUCAAUUAAAUGUAUUUAUCUUUUAGGAAUUUAAGUAGGAUUAGAAUAUCUCCCCUAGCACUAUAAUAGGGGGUAAAGUGACUCAAAAGGGGAUCCCAUCUUUUUCUGUAAACACUCUCUCCCCAAAAGUCUAGGCUUUUGUUCUUUUCAUAUUUUUUUUUCAAUAAAAUCUUUAUUUUUAUUUUAUUUAUUUUCUUUUCUUUCCACAACCAUGAGCCACUAAACCCAUCUAGCCGAAGGUUGUCAAAAAUCCCCCAAGAGGGUUCAUGAGGCUUAGAACCGUACUUAGCCUCCUUGCUGAGUAUUCAUCGUUUCUCCGCACUACGGGGCUGACGCUUCCAUCCAUGUCCCUUAAGAAGUUGUUUUGGGAAGGCGGCCGCUUUGUAUGUUUUGGGAAGGUUGCACAGUCGGUUCGUUAGUUUACUGCGUCAGAGGUUGGCGAGCCCAAGAGACAAAAUGGUGUGGGAUUCGCCAUUAAGAAGCGUUGAUCUAGCAUAAGACGAUCCCACAGAAGCGAUUGUUGGCUAGAGUCAGGUUCCACUAAGUUGUAAGUCUAAAUUCUUGGAGCUGGUGGUCGUAGGCGUCCUCUUCCACUAUAACUGGCUUAUUCGGUUUGGGAACGAUCAUCUAAAAGUCGAGGAUUGAACCCAAGGCGGAACGAGACAACUGGAGGCUGGAAUCUCCCAUAAGAAUUUCCUUUCUCUCAACUCUAUUUUUAAUUUCUCAAAUUUUCGAUUCAAUAUUCUUAGUUCUGUUUUUAUUUUAUUCUUCCUUUCUAGAUCCAAACCUUUAAUUCUAUUUUUUUUAAAUUUUUUUCAGGAACACAGGUUGUCUUGGGCAAGACUCUGCCUGAGAUUCCACGGAACAAGAUAUUGUGCAAUCCAGUCCCUGAGGAUUUGACCCUACUUCCCUUUUACUAUUCUUUUUCAUUAUUUAUUAAGGAUAGGAUAUUUUUGGUGCUUUCAAUGACCGCAUCACCGACCCAUUUUUUUAAUAAACACCAAAAUUGUAUUUUAAAAAUAAAAAAGUAUUUUAAAAAUACUUUAAAAUUAAAAAAUAAAUAUUUAUUAUAUAAAUACUAAAUGUCUAAUGGGAAAUGGGGAAAUGGGGAAAUGGAAAAUGCAUUUUAAAAAUAAAAAUAUAUAUUUAUUAUAUAUUCAGGCCGAGCCCGGGCCAAAAAAGUUUUGCCAAUGGGCCUCAUUUUUUGCCCAAACCCAUAUUUCGGGCCUAUAUUUUUACCCAAACCCUCCCAUCUUUUGGGCAGGCCGUCGGGCCGGGCUGCCCAACCCAUGAUCACCUCUAAUUAGCACCCUCGUAACACCCAAAAUCGGUACCUAGUUGAUUAAUUAGUGUCUCAGUGUCGAAAAUUGAAAACUUUGAAGAGAUUUAAAAUACGAUCCUUUGUUAAAAUAUUAAAAAUUUUUGAGAAAUGGACAUAUUUCACGUUAAUCGAGAAAAAGAAUUGCGUCCCGUGAAUUAGGACACAAUGUCUUAAAUUCCUAAUGCACAAAUAAACGUCGAAAAAUUUAUUUUAAAAGAUGUUUGACUAUAUCGAUUUAAAAGAAAAUCAUAUUCCGUAAGUAAUGACACGAUCUUUUAGUAAUUCCCGAGAUUAUUUAAAAUUUAUGCUUAAAAAUGUUCAGGCAUUUGGAUUUUUUUUUAGAAAGUCGAAACCCCGUAAGUUAGGGAACAACUUUUCAAAUUUCAAAAUACGAAAUAGUGCUUGUUUAAAACAUCAUUUUUAAUGUAUCGAGUAAAAUAUAGCACGAUUUUGUACGUAGUAAAAUGUGAGAAAUAAAUCACGGUACUACCAUACAUAGCAGAAUAAUAAUAAAUGCGUAAUAUGAAUGACAAUAAUAAGGACGAAAAUAAAAUAAAAUAAAGAAAUAAGCUAUAUAAAUAAAAAGAAAAAAUAAUAGGUAAAAACUAAAUAAAAAAAUAGAACCUAAUAGUAAACCAAUAUAUAAAUAAAUAAUAUGUAAAAUAGUUUAAAAAUAAUAAUAAUGAUAAUAAUAUUAAUAUAAAUAAUAAAUAAUCUAAAGUUUGAAAGGAUUUAGAUAGAUAAAUAAUAAGAUAAUAAUAAAAAAUAUCUAAAAGAAACAAGGAUAAUAAUAAGUAAGUAAACGCAAAAAGGAAAAAGAAAUAUAAUGUAAUAAUAAUAUUAAAUUAAUUAGUUUAAUAAUAUUAUAAUAAUAACAACAGAAAAGGAUUAAAUUGAAAAUGAAACAAAAUCUUAGGGGAGAAAUCGGGAAUAAAAUGAGGUAAGGGACCGAAUUGCACUACGCGAAUGAAAUGGAGGGAUCGAAAUAGAAAAUUAUAAUAAGUAUAUAUAAAAUCUAUAUGUAUAUAAAUUAAAAUACGUGGAUAUAGAUAUAAGUAUGUGUAUGUAUAAAAAAUGAAAUAUAAAAGUAUAUUUAUAAUAACCUUAAAAAUAUACAUAUAUAUAUAUUAGAAAAGCAUAUGCGGAUAUGUAUAUAUAUAUAACAAAAUUAUAAUAAGUAUAUAAAAAAAUUAUAAUAAGUAUAUAAAAAUUAUAAAAAAAACUACAUCACUGUUUGUGACUUUUAAAAAAUAAAAAGAUUGAAUUCUUAAAAAUAAAAUUAAGUAUUAAAUUUCAAAUAUAUAAAAAGUACAUAAAUGUGAUAUCCUUUAAAUUUAAUCUUUUAAAAAUUGGGAAUUAAAUUCAAAAAGUAUGAAUUAUAUUAUAUUUGAUCUUAAUCCUUCCUCACAUGGAUACAAAUGCAAAUAAGUAAAUUUUCCUAAAUUCCAUAUAAUUAUUAUAACCUAUCAAAUGCUUACCUUUUAUGCUUCUUUGCUUCCUGGUUAAGGUUUGGACCAUACCAACUCCCAUUUUGCUCGCUUAUUCAUUCCUUUUAGUCAAUUACAAAGAAAAUGAAAAUAGAAAGAUGCAGAGGCCAAGGUUUGAAUUGCCAGAAGCUUUGGUUAUGGAAAUUCUGUCAAAGCUUCCAGUUAAAUCCCUUACUCGCUUCAACUGUGUUUGUAAGUAUUGGUGUUCUUCUUUUCAAACUCCUUAUUUCAUUUCCAAUAAUUAUCACAACAACCUUAAUCUACUGCUUAGUCUCUGUGGUGGUAACACCUUCCAACGUUAUUUCUCUCAACUUUCAAAUGAAAAAUAUCAAAAUUAUAUAGUAAAACAAAACAUUCACUUGCCCUUUUUUAAGCAUGAUCGCCCCUCUGUUUAUGGUGCUUGUCAUGGAUUAUUGUGUUUACUUGAUCCUUCAAAGGAUAAGGCUGCCAUUUGGAACCCAUCAACCAGAGAGUUUAAAAUCCUUCCACCAUCUUCAAUCCAACGCCCUCCAUAUUUUUCCCCAUUCGAUGAAACCUACCUUACUUUAGAUGACGUUGAAUUUAACCACGCUGCUUUUGGGUUUGAUUCUAAAACUGAUGACUACAAAGUCAUACGAUUUGUUACUCUUACUUUUGUUAAUAGUGAAGAAGAAUAUCCACAUCCUCAUUUUAUGUACCAAGUUGAGUUGUAUUCUCUUAGAAGUAAUUCCUGGAAGGAAAUUCCAUCUCCUGAUUAUAAACCAACUGAAAAAACUUUGGGAAAUAAUUAUGUAGACGGAAUUUGCUAUUGGAAAACAGGGACAGGGGCAUAUCUUGAUUUUAGAGGACUAAUUCUUUCAUUUGACAUGGGGAAUGAGAAGUUCUCAAUUUUACCUAUCCCAGAAUUCGUUGGGUCUUUCCCAGAAUACUAUGUUAAUCUAUUGGUGUUUAAUAGAUCACUUGGUGCUAUUGUUUACCCAAAGGAAAGAAUUGACACGUCUUUUGAUUUAUGGGUUACAAGUGAAGGAGUGUGGACUAAACAAUUCAAUAUUAAAUCCAUUUCUGGAGUUGUACACCUAUUGGGAUUUGGAAAAAAUGGUGACUUGUUUCUUACAGACACAAAUGAUGAAGUACUCCUAUUUGACGCCUCCACCCAAGAGCUUAAGGAGCUUGAGAUUAAUACUUAUCUAGAUCAUUAUCGGUUCGAUAUCUCCCUUCAUGCUUAUUUAGAGAGCCUGGUUCGUAUCAAUGGAAUACAAGAGAUUGAGAAACAUGUAAUACGUCAACCAGCGAGAGAUGCAUCAAAUGAAUACUAAAUAUGAAGAAGGAUAUGCAUGAAAUGGAUACUGAAUAUGAAGAGGGAUGUGGAGCUAGAACAUAUAUGUGUAAGAAUAAUAGGAAUUUUUUGUUGUGAGCUUCUUAAUAUUGCUAUUAUUGUUUGGGUUAUAUGUUUGAGAUGUUAACUAUUUCCUGGUUUCUGUAUUUGGAGAAUUGUUCAGCUUAUGUUUGGUUUUUGUUGCUUAGAUAUCUAUAAGAUUGCUUAGAUGUUGAUA
rnacentral:lncRNA from 1 species